AUUAAGAAGCUUGUUAAUUAAUUAGUGUUAAUUCAUUUUAUUUUAAUUUUAGCCGAAUUCCCUAAUUAAAUUCAUUUUGGCUAAAUUCGAAAUUCGAAUAAUUAUAAUUUAAAUGCAUAUGGUCUAAAAUUGCAAAGAUCAACCAUUUUAGGCUCUAUCCUUUCCCAAUUCUAUACCAAUAAAGCCCAUUUUCUUUUUAACAUUAUACUCACACACGCAUCACACCAUUUCCAAUUUCAAUUUGGACAGAUCCCACUCAACAAUAUAUAAUUUCCUACACAUUAUACCUAUACAACAACUAAUCUACACCUCACUAUCCUACAACCUACGUGCCAACACUACACUACCCAGCAACAUUCCUAAUACACUCACUCAACAUAUAUACCACAUCAACAUGCACACAAUUCCUACUUCUUAUAUACACCACUCCACCGCCCCAACCCACCAAUAAAAUUCAAAAUCCCAAAACAAACCCACGACAAUACAAUACAUCACGAAGCCCACCCCAAUUUCCAAAAGAACUCCAGCCAACAACGCAUACAUACACCGCAUACAAUACAUACACGCCCAGUAUAUAUGUCCAUCCUUCGCAGUCUUGUUCUUCAUCCCCGACAAUAGUACAUCAGAAGACAACGACUCCUGCACUUCGUCCUUUCAUGCGUGAAGAUUUCACCACGUAGUGAUUCCAAGGACGCGUGAAUCAAUCUCGGCCAUCCACAUUGCUCGUUUCAUCCAAAUUUAUUGAAGAUUUUUGGCAUUUAUUUGGAGGAAUUUGGGUAUAUUUCUUAUCUAACGGGAGGAAUUUGAAUUUUGAAUUUUAAAAUUUCAUCUAAAACCCUCAUUUCAUUUGAAAAUCCCUCCCCCCCCCCAUUUUUGACCCCAAAAUCCCUUCAAUAAAAGACUUCAAACUUUGGGAAGGAGUUAGGAUUAUUCUUUAAAGAAGAAAAUACAUGUUCGAUUAAGAGGGUUACAAAUUUUUACCAAAAAGAUACAAAUCUUUAAAGUAGUUAAGAAUUUUUGAACAAGAACGAAGGGUGUUUAUUCUGAGAAGACUGAUAAAGUGCAAGAUUUUUGUUCGUUUUCUUUUUGAGUUUGCUCUAGUGGGUCUCUACUUAUGGUGAUGAAGAAGCUUCAGCUCGCUCAUCCCAGUUCCUGCUCCGAAGAAGGGCCAAGGAGGCCCAAAUCACCUUUCCUUCGAAUCUGCCUCACAAAAGUCAGAUGGAAGCGGAUGAACAACUCCUGUAAGCUGAAUUACAGGUUGUGGAAGUAGAAAAUAGGCUGUAUAAACAACCUGAUAUACAUAAAAACAAUGUUGUAUAACUGAUAUACAAUGUAUAUACAGUUGUGAUACAGAAAAAUUGGGUCUAAGACCCAAAAUACAGGUGGCCCAACAGCUUAGUCCAGACAUACAAAAAUUAAGUGUUGGGCUAAGUUUUCAUAUUUUUAUUCUUUUAAAUUUAAUUUGGAUUGUAAUAA